AACACAAAUAUCAUAUGCGCAUUUAUGCAGUUUGAAAAUGAAAGUUUGAUAUGCAUUGGCCUAGUUUAAAAGAUAAGAGAAAUCUUCUCAAGCAUUUUCAUGGUUGUCUUGAUAGGUGUUACUCUGAUAUUAUGAUUGCUGUUUGGAACAUCAUAUCACUCAUAGGACUACUUACUCCAUGUCUUGUUGUAACACCUCGUUAUUGUUGGAGUUGUGGAUGACAUGACACUUCUAUCUCUUCAUAUCAAGCUAUCAAGUUAUGAAGAUCUUCAAUCAACAAUGGAAGCUGAUUGAGAACCAUAAAUAGUAUUGAAACGAAUAGAAUCAUUUGAUGCGUUCUCCUAU
rnacentral:lncRNA from 1 species